GACGAACGCUGGCGGCGUGCUUAACACAUGCAAGUCGAACGAUGAAGCCUUAGCUUGCUUUGGUGGAUUAGUGGCGAACGGGUGAGUAACACGUGAGCAACGUGCCCAGGACUCUGGAAUAACCGCGGGAAACCGUGGCUAAUACCGGAUAGGUGCCGAGGCCGCAUGGUCUUCGGUUGGAAAGUUUUUGCGGUUCUGGAUCGGCUCACGGCCUAUCAGCUUGUUGGUGGGGUAAUGGCCUACCAAGGCGACGACGGGUAGCCGGCCUGAGAGGGUGACCGGCCACGCUGGGAAUGAGAAACGGCCCAGGCUCCUACGGGAGGCAGCAGUGGGGAAUAUUGCACAAUGGGCGCAAGCCGGAUGCAGCAACGCCGCGUGGGGGAUGACGGCCUUCGGGUUGUAAACCUCUUUUAGUAGGGAAGAAGCGCAAGUGACGGUACCUGCAGAAAAAGCACCGGCUAACUACGU
rnacentral:rRNA from 1 species